UUAUAUAUCAUUUUAUAUACCAUUUUAUAUACCAUUUUAUAUACUAUUUUAUAUACUAUUUUAUAUAACAUUUUAUAUACCAUUUUAUAAACCAUUUUAUAUACCAUUUUAUAUACCAUUUUAUGUACUAUUUUACAUACUAUUUUAUAUAUAAUAUUUUACAAACUGAAAAGUAAUUAUACUUACAGUUAUAAUACUUCUUUUUGACAAUUUUUUUUUUUUUUUUUUUUUUUUUUUUUUUUUUUUUUUUUUUUUUUUUUUUUUUUUUUUUUUUUUUUUUUUUUUUUUGGAAGCAUUAGCAUUACCAUACGUUUUUAUUUGUCUUGUACAUUUACCUUGUUUAUUACGACUAAGGAAAACUUUAUUUUCUUUAAUUAAUUUUUGUAAUUCUUUUAAACUCUUAGCCGAAUUAAACAUAUGUAAUAACUCUUCCGUAUCUAGUUCUGUGCCUAGUUCUUUAGAAUUAAUUUCUUGUUUAGUCAUUAAACAUGGUUCAGUUUGGCUCUUUAAAUUAGUGUUGUUUUCAUUUUCCCUAUGUCGCAUGAACUUGUUUUUAUUACUCUCUUCAACUCUAUUAGUAUAA
rnacentral:lncRNA from 1 species